CUUCCCCUUCGGGGGACAAAGUGACAGGUGGUGCAUGGUUGUCGUCAGCUCGUGUCGUGAGAUGUUGGGUUAAGUCCCGCAACGAGCGCAACCCUUAAGCUUAGUUGCCAGCAUUAAGUUGGGCACUCUAAGUUGACUGCCGGUGACAAACCGGAGGAAGGUGGGGAUGACGUCAAAUCAUCAUGCCCCUUAUGAUUUGGGCUACACACGUGCUACAAUGGACGGUACAAAGGGCAGCGAACCCGCGAGGUCAAGCAAAUCCCAUAAAGCCGUUCUCAGUUCGGAUUGUAGUCUGCAACUCGACUACAUGAAGCUGGAAUCGCUAGUAAUCGUAGAUCAGCAUGCUACGGUGAAUACGUUCCCGGGUCUUGUACACACCGCCCGUCACACCACGAGAGUUUGUAACACCCGAAGCCGGUGGAGUAACCUUUUAGGAACUAGCCGUCGAAGGUGGGACAAAUGAUUGGGGUGAAGUCGUAACAAGGUAGCCGUAUCGGAAGGUGCGGCUGGAUCACCUCCUUUCUA
rnacentral:rRNA from 1 species